rnacentral:sRNA from 1 species
UUUUUUCUUUUACACACGUUAGUCAAUAUCCUAUUUGAUCAUGAUCUCGAAAAAAUGUGGCCGAUUAUAUGGAAACCGGGGGCAACAAAGAGUAUUGCGAAAAGAAAAGUUAAUGUAGAAGAAGUAGAGAAAGAGCAACUAGUGAAAAAGAAAAGAAGAGGGAAAGAAGAUGACAAUAUGACUAUGAGUCUUUAGAGAGUGAAAGUGACAUUGAGCAGCAAGAAGAAUUAAAUAACUAUUUGAUACACGAAACUGUUCUUGAAAUUGAAAGGGAGUUUGAAUGAUUUGAGUAAGAAAUUGAAUAAAUUAGUCUGAAACAUUUUU